rnacentral:sRNA from 1 species
AAUUUAACCAUUCUGGAACAUUGUGUUCAGAGCCAGAAAAAUUAAUAGAUUUUAUUCACAUCUAUGUCUACGGCUUCCUUGACAACUACUGCAGACGCCGCUAUCACCAUGGGGAUGGUUCUUCUCAAUGAAGCAGCAACUUCGAAAGGCGAUGUUGGAAAAAGACGGAUAAUUUGCCUAGUGGGAUUGGGCCUGGUGGUCUUCUUCUUCAGUUUUCUACUUUCAAUAUUUCGUUCCAAGUACCACGGCUAUCCUUAUAGUGAUCUGGACUUUGAGUGAGAAGAUGUGAUUUGGACCAUGGCACUUAAAAACUCUGUAACCUCAGGGAAAAGUCCUCAGAUAAAAAUGUCUACCAAAAGACUGACACAUGGAGUUAAUCAUUUGACAGAUGCAAUCCUUCCACGCCAAGCAAAUAUACUUUCUUAACUUCUGUUUGUUAUCACUUAGGGAAAAAAGGCAGUCAACAAAUAUAUUUAAUUCUGUCUAGGAAAAAUGUAACGAAAUCUUUUUUCCCAUUAACAAAUAAUGUAAGCCUUAAUAUUCAAGGGUAAUAAAAAAUCCAAGUCUUCCAAA